AGAAUAAUCAAUCAAAGGGCAAUUGGUCGUAGGGUGCUGAAGCAAUGAUUAAAAUUUGAGGCAUAAUCCGACUUUUAAUCUUCCCACUCUGCCACCGUCACAGAGCUAUGGCUGGAUCGAGACGACAGGGAAAACGACGAUGAGGAACAAGGAAUCGAUUUGAAAGCAAAGGUAAACGACUACCCAGAUGAGGGUUCUGAAGGGUUAGAAGGCGGAAGGGGUAGAGGGUAUAGGUUUAUUGUUCGCUGGCCGGAUUAUUCGUUCGACAUUGUUUAACCCAACCACGCCUAGGGUUUGAGGGAAUUAUUAAAGGGAUCGGGGUAAUCUGAUAGGGGAAGAAUCCAAAACUGCCAACAAUGUGUAAAAAUGGGAGUCCGCCUGUGACAGUUGUGUGUGGAAGGAAGAAGCUGUGUGCGCCAUGUAGUUAACAAAGUGUUAUUCUUUACAGUGGUGGAGUAUUCCAAUACUGAGUAUAAAAAGCUCCUGCUAGGACUGUUUUAUGCAUGUGCAACCCAUUAAAAACAUAUAGUCCAUGGAGAUAGUUGUUACGGGGUGGAUCCUUGUGGUUCUGUGUUCAUUUGUUUGUCUGAAUUAGGCCUUCAAAUAAAAGUGGUGUGAAAUUUGUGCACA